AGGUACGUUCAUACUUUGCUGAAUACACCAUAUCCCGUCCGAUUUGUGAAGUUAAGCAGCUAUAGGCCACGUUAGUACUAAGGUUAGUGAUAACUUGGGAACCCGCGGUGAUGUACCUCACACCCACACCCUUUUUUGGACUUUUUUGGAUUUUUUUGGAUUUUGGAAUUUUGGUGUGUGCGAAAAAAAAAUAAAAAAGUGCCCGAAGGCAGUGUUUCCAAAAUUUACCAGAUGAACUGGAAGCUUCUCAUACCAAUAAUGUACAGAAACUGUAACAAUUUUUAGCGUUAGUUAAAAGCAAAAUACCCCCCGGUGGGAAAGUGCCAUAUGUGGCGUUAACGUGAUAGGCACUUCGUGGGAGGGGGGGCGCCUUCCUAAGGAACCCCAUACAAGCGGGGUGGGGGCGGGGGGGGGGGCCAAAAAAAAAAAGUUCCCAAAACCGGCGUUUCGGCGCACGCACUUCGCACAGAACGCCGCACCCGCAGGAGCGCGCGGUGCGAACGGUGCACAGCCCCGCUCGCCGCCGUCAAAUGCAGCCGCUGAUCACCUCCUGCCGACGCGGCGUCGACACACUUGUGCGGUGCGCGCCCCCCCAAUUUGGCAGUUUUUUGGGUGCGCGGGGCGAUUUUUGCGAUUUUUGCAAAGGUGACUCUUGGCCCCCCCAGCAUGUUUUUCCCCUCCCCGGGGUCGGGAAACGCCGCCAGCACCACCCCCCGGGGGCUGUCAUC
rnacentral:misc_RNA from 1 species